GUGAUACGGCCUACCUGCAAACUGUAUUGAAUUAAAACUGCUUGAGAAAAAUUCUUUCAAUGCAUAUGCAACAUGUUUUAAAAGAUGUGAUGAUGGACUGGCACGCGGUUUUUUUUUUUUAAAUGUGUAGUCUCUGACUGCUCCCUUUUGUUUUCGAUGAUCGGAGUAGCGGAUUGUGGGGUUGGCAUUGCCUUUCUCCGACUUGCUAUGAGCUUAUCUACGAGAGUGAACCGGUAAGAUGGAUAAUAUUCAGAUUCUCUGUUAUUGGAUUCGACAUGUUACAUUUCUUAUUUUACAUGGGGUGUGUUUUCAUUGUAGCUCGAAGAAGGUGAAAAAGAUAUGAUUAGGGGCCAAGAGUUCAAGUAUUGUAUGCAUAAGUUAUCUUUGGGGGAGAGCCUUGAGGGUAUCAAGGGUACACUUAAUUAUUAAGUAUUCAGGUGGCAAUGUUGCUUGUAGAAUAAGUUCAUAUGAAGCCAUGGAUUUCUUCUCCACUGGAGAAAGAAGAAAACAGGUAACACAGAAGUCGUACUUCAUUUCCCAGUCAUCUCUUGGUUGUCUCCCCUUGCAUGUAGUGCAAUGUUCUCUGCACACCAGGUUCAGGCUGUCCAGGGUGUCUGACAUUACGGCUUAGGUUCUGUCUUCAGCCGACGUGGAAAUUAUCCGUACGAUUACGAGAAUGUUUCUGACUUGUUCAAUAGUUACCGCAAUGUGCUUGAACGAAACUGAGGUUAGCCUAAUCAUAAUCGGGACACCAAUAUUUUUGAAUUUCAGUAUGAGAAAGCAAACAUCUGCAUUUCAUCUUGUUACAGAUGAAAAUGGAGGUAUUAUUGCUCUAUCACUAUUUAGACGGAGAGAGUUUUACUUGGAAAGCAAGUUGCUUGAAUGUGUUGUUUUUGUUGUGGAGGGAAAAAACAUUACAACAGCAUACAAUUUCUGAGCAACUGGAACUUGCUUUGGAUGAUUGUUAGUCCGUUUUAUCAACCAACUCCCCUGUUUCCAUCUCUCCCCUUCAUAGCUUCUAAAACUUUAUAUACCGUAUUACUCCGACUAUAACGUGUAUACGGUCACGCUCCAUACGGUUCUGACCCCGACCCGUAAUCAGAUCCUUGAAUCAAACCCUUGAGAUUUUCUU